UGUUGCCCUCGGUUCUGGUUGGAGUCCCCGCUGAACUUAAGCAUAU
rnacentral:rRNA from 1 species